rnacentral:rRNA from 1 species
GUCUGUUUGAAGAUAUAAAAAGUCUGGCCUGCCCACUGAUGAAUUUAAAGGGCCGCGGUAAUUUGACCGUGCAAAGGUAGCAUAAUCGUUAGUUUUUUAAUUGGAAUCUUGUAUGAAUGGUUGAACAAAAGAAUAACUGUCUCUAUCUUUCUAUUUGAAUUUAACUUUUGAGUGAAAAGGCUUAAAUAUUUUAAAAAGACGAUAAGACCCUAUAAAGCUUGAUAAAUUUUAUUAUUAAAUUGAGUUUUAUUUAUGAAAUAUAAAAAUUUAGUAAAAAAAGCUUAUUUUGUUGGGGCGACAAUGAUAAAAUGUUCAUUAACUGUUUUGAUUAAAGACAAAAAUUAUUGAUUAUUAGUGUAAAUGAUCCUUUAUAGAGAUUAAAAGUUUAAGUUACUUUAGGGAUAACAGCGUUAUUUUUCUUGAGAGUUCAUAUCGAAAGAAAAGUUUGCGACCUCGAUGUUGAAUUAAAAUUUCUUUAUAAUUGCAGUAGUUAUAGAAGAAGGUCUGUUCGACCUUUAAAUUUUU